AACGAAACGGUCCUGGUUAAAACCUGGGGCCCCUGACUGUACCGUAAGAAUAAGCACCGGCUAACUACGUGCCAGCAGCCGCGGUAAUACGUAGGGUGCAAGCGUUAAUCGGAAUUACUGGGCGUAAAGCGUGCGCAGGCGGUUUUGUAAGACAGGCGUGAAAUCCCCGGGCUUAACCUGGGAAUGGCGUUUGUGACUGCAAAGCUGGAGUGCGGCAGAGGGGGAUGGAAUUCCGCGUGUAGCAGUGAAAUGCGUAGAUAUGCGGAGGAACACCGAUGGCGAAGGCAAUCCCCUGGGCCUGCACUGACGCUCAUGCACGAAAGCGUGGGGAGCAAACAGGAUUAGAUACCCUGG
rnacentral:rRNA from 1 species